ensembl:snRNA U1 U1 spliceosomal RNA
AGACUUAGCUAGCAGGAGAGCUGCCAUGGUCAAGAAGGUGGUUUUCCCAGAGUGAGGCUCAUCUAUUACAUUCUGGGUAUGUGGAUCCCUAUGAUUUCCCCAAAUGUGAGAAACUUGAUUGCAUAAUGGUGGGGGGGGGCUGUGUUCAUGCUCAUCUG